GUAGGUGGCAAGCGUUGUCCGGAAUUAUUGGGCGUAAAGCGCGCGCAGGCGGUUCUUUAAGUCUGAUGUGAAAGCCCACGGCUCAACCGUGGAGGGUCAUUGGAAACUGGAGAACUUGAGUACAGAAGAGGAAAGCGGAAUUCCACGUGUAGCGGUGAAAUGCGUAGAGAUGUGGAGGAACACCAGUGGCGAAGGCGGCUUUCUGGUCUGUAACUGACGCUGAGGCGCGAAAGCGUGGGGAGCAAACAGGGAUUAGAUACCCUGGUAGUCCACGCCGUAAACGAUGAGUGCUAAGUGUUAGGGGGUUUCCGCCCCCUUAGUGCUGCAGCUAACGCAUAAGCACUCCGCCUGGGGAUACGGCCGCAAGGCUG
rnacentral:rRNA from 1 species